rnacentral:lncRNA from 1 species
UUAGGAGUUAUUGCCCUUUAUAGUCAAUUUUUAACCAUUUUUCGUAAAUCUUAGUAAUCUUGUAGAAAAAUCUUCUCCUCUGAAACUACUGGGCCAAAUUUAACCAAACUUAGCCAUAAUCAUCAUUGGGGUAUUUAGUUAAAAAAAUGUGUCUGGUAAAUCGGCCAACAAACCAAGAUGGCCGCCAUGGCUAAAAAUAGAACAUGGGGGUAAAAUGCAGUUUUUGGCUUAUAACUCAAAAACCAAAGCAUUAAGAGCAAAUCUGACAGGAAGUAAAAUUGUUGAUCAGGUCACGAUUUAUCUGCCCUGGAAUUUUCAGAUGAAUCGGAUAAUCGGUUGUUAGGUUGCUGCCCCUGAAUUGGUAAUUUUGAGGAAAUUUUGCUGUUUUUUUGUUAUCUUGAAUAUUAUUAUAGAUAGAGAUAAACUGUAAACAGCAAUAAUGUACAGCAAAGUAAGAACUAAAAAUAAGUCACUAUGACCAAAAUAGUCAAUUUUUAACAAUUUUCUUAGAAUUUGAAGAUUUUCAAUAACAUUUUCCACAGAAAGUACUGUUAUAGAUAGAGAUAAUUGUAAGCAGCAAGAAUGUUUAGUAAAGUAAGAUCUACAAACACAUCACCAUCACCAAAACACAAUUUUGUCAUGAAUCCAUCUGUGUCCAUUGUUUAAUAUUCACAUAGACCAAGGUGAGCGACACAGGCUCUUUAGAGCCUCUAGUUUAUUAUUUUAUUUUUAUUUUU